rnacentral:misc_RNA from 1 species
GAUGAAGAACGCAGCGAAAUGCGAUAAGUAAUGUGAAUUGCAGAAUUCAGUGAAUCAUCGAAUCUUUGAACGCACAUUGCGCCCCUUGGUAUUCCAUGGGGCAUGCCUGUUCGAGCGUCAUUUGUACCUUCAAGCUUUGCUUGGUGUUGGGUGUUUGUCUCGCCUUUGCGUGUAGACUCGCCUUAAAAUAAUUGGCAGCCGGCGUAUUGAUUUCGGAGCGCAGUACAUCUCGCGCUUUGCACUCAUAACGACAGCGUCCAAAAGUACAUUUUACACUCUUGACCUCGGAUCAGGUAGGGAUACCCGCUGAACUUAAGCAUAUCAAAAGCGGAGGA